rnacentral:piRNA from 1 species
UCCUCCAGGAUGUGUGGCGGGAGUCCA